rnacentral:lncRNA from 1 species
AAAAAAAAAAAAAACAAUCAUUAUCUUGAAAUUAAAACAAACGCGGCAAAAUCAUCCAGAAAAACUCAAGAUUCAAUAUUUCAAUUCAUAUAUAUACCCCAGACCGAUUUACAGGCAAAGGCUUUCCAUAAGCGAAAUGAUUGGGAACAAUUUUCCAAACAAUCCAAGUAAACUUCAUAUUCUAAAUAACCACAAGAUAUUACUAGGAAAAUACUUAUGAAGCUUCCUAGCAUACUCAACAACA